UUUUUUUUGGCUCACGUGACAGUUGCACAAUCAUCAGAUCAAUCUCGUAAAGUGAAGCAAGUUAUUGCACAAAAAUCAAGCAAAUGUAUAACUAAGAAAAAGAAUUUGGGGGGCUUAUGUAGAAUGCCCCACUGCAUAGAUUACAUUCAUUGCAGACGGUACAUAAUUUGACAACAAAUGUGGAACCCAUUUUGGUUGCCGCUAAACACACCUCUCAAUUGGACCUCUAGAGAAAAGGAAGGAAAGUGAAAAGCUUAGUUGGUAAUUUGGUAUUGAACAAUUCAAGUAGCUUUGGGAAGCAGUUGCUAGUAGGGUUGGUGACGAUUUUUCUUGCGAGUCUUGUCGGAUUUCAUAAUCAAU